CAGGUCUUGACAUCCCUCUGACCGCUCUAGAGAUAGAGUUUUCCUUCGGGACAGAGGUGACAGGUGGUGCAUGGUUGUCGUCAGCUCGUGUCGUGAGAUGUUGGGUUAAGUCCCGCAACGAGCGCAACCCCUAUUGUUAGUUGCCAUCAUUCAGUUGGGCACUCUAGCGAGACUGCCGGUAAUAAACCGGAGGAAGGUGGGGAUGACGUCAAAUCAUCAUGCCCCUUAUGACCUGGGCUACACACGUGCUACAAUGGUUGGUACAACGAGUCGCAAGCCGGUGACGGCAAGCUAAUCUCUUAAAGCCAAUCUCAGUUCGGAUUGUAGGCUGCAACUCGCCUACAUGAAGUCGGAAUCGCUAGUAAUCGCGGAUCAUCACGCCGCGGUGAAUACGUUCCCGGGCCUUGUACACACCGCCCGUCACACCACGAGAGUUUGUAACACCCGAAGUCGGUGAGGUAACCAUUUGGAGCCAGCCGCCUAAGGUGGGAUAGAUGAUUGGGGUG
rnacentral:rRNA from 1 species